rnacentral:rRNA from 1 species
GAUGAACGCUGGCGGCGUGCCUAAUACAUGCAAGUCGAGCGAACAGAUAAGGAGCUUGCUCCUUUGACGUUAGCGGCGGACGGGUGAGUAACACGUGGGUAACCUACCUAUAAGACUGGGAUAACUUCGGGAAACCGGAGCUAAUACCGGAUAACAUUUGGAACCGCAUGGUUCUAAAGUGAAAGAUGGUUUUGCUAUCACUUAUAGAUGGACCCGCGCCGUAUUAGCUAGUUGGUAAGGUAACGGCUUACCAAGGCAACGAUACGUAGCCGACCUGAGAGGGUGAUCGGCCACACUGGAACUGAGACACGGUCCAGACUCCGACGGGGGGGAGCAGUAGGGAAUCUUCCGCAAUGGGCGAAAGCCUGACGGAGCAACGCCGCGUGAGUGAUGAAGGGUUUCGGCUCGUAAAACUCUGUUAUUAGGGAAGAACAAACGUGUAAGUAACUGUGCACGUCUUGACGGUACCUAAUCAGAAAGCCACGGCUAACUACGUG